rnacentral:misc_RNA from 1 species
GAUGAAGAACGUAGCGAAAUGCGAUAAGUAGUGUGAAUUGCAGAAUUCAGUGAAUCAUCGAAUCUUUGAACGCACAUUGCGCCCUUUGGUAUUCCUUAGGGCAUGCCUGUUCGAGCGUCAUUUAAACCUUCAAGCUCAGCUUGGUGUUGGGUGACUGUCCGCCGCCUCCGGGCGGUCGGACUCGCCUCAAAUUGAUUGGCGGCCGGUACUUUGGCUUCGAGCGCAGCAGAAACGCGAACUCGAGGCCGUCGUCCUGGCUCCCAGAAGCUAUCUUCACAAUUUUGACCUCGGAUCAGGUAGGGAUACCCGCUGAACUUAAGCAUAUCAAUAAGCGGGGA